UAGAAAAACAAAAGCAAGAAAAAACAUCAGAACGCCGACACAGACAAGGAUGGACGGCGGCGGAAAGAGGAAUCGAGCAAAGAUGACCCCAAGAAAACUGAAGAGCGGUCCGGGGCCAAGAAAAAGGAAAUCUCCACGGAUGCGAAGCUCCAACGUCUGCACAGCGAAAUCAAGAUUUCCCUGAAGAUAGACAACCCUGUGAGUUCUUUCCUUUUUUUUUUUUUUU